rnacentral:rRNA from 1 species
UACGUAGGUGGCGAGCGUUGUCCGGAUUUACUGGGCGUAAAGGGAGCGUAGGCGGACUUUUAAGUGAGAUGCGAAAUACUCGGGCUCAACUUGAGUGCUGCAUUUCAAACUGGAAGUCUAGAGUGCAGGAGAGGAGAAUGGAAUUCCUAGUGUAGCGGUGAAAUGCGUAGAGAUUAGGAAGAACACCAGUGGCGAAGGCGAUUCUCUGGACUGUAACUGACGCUGAGGCUCGAAAGCGUGGGGAGCGAACAGG